GGGUGUAGACCCGAAACCAGAUGAUCUACUCAUGGCCAGGAUGAAGCGAGGGUAACACCUCGUGGAGGUCCGAACCCACUAAUGUUGAAAAAUUAGGGGAUGAGCUGUGGGUAGGGGUGAAAGGCUAAACAAAUCUGGAAAUAGCUGGUUCUCUCCGAAAACUAUUUAGGUAGUGCCUCAUGUAUCACCUUUGGGGGUAGAGCACUGUUAUGGCUAGGGGGUCAUUGAGACUUACCAAACCAUUGCAAACUCCGAAUAC
rnacentral:rRNA from 1 species